rnacentral:lncRNA from 1 species
GAGAUGUAUACCAGGCUGAGGGGUCACUGGCAGGGAAGGCAGCAUAAUUGAUGCCUGGAAACAAUGAUGGUCAUUCUGCUCUGGCUAAAGUAGGCAGAGGCCAGGGGAUUGGCCUAGUAGGACAUCAUAAGACAUUUGGGCUGUUUCCUGUGGAAAGCUGGCGCCAAGAGAUUUGAAAUUGUUUGAAGCAGGGGAGAGGCCUAAUCUGAUUUGUGUGUUGGAAAGGUAUUUCUGGUAACAGUGCGGAGGCUGGAUGAGUCACUUGGAGAAAAGAAGACCACAUUCCAGAGGGUUCCAUGAUGUGGACACUUUCAGCAGGUGGUGAGGGCUAGCGAUAUGUGGCGUGGUACCCUCUCUUGAUGCUGGGCAGUGGCGGUGAGCACAGCUCCCAGUUAGCCAUGCGAUCAUCAGGAUAUGUGUGACUCAGGACACCAUGUUGUCAGAUCUUCACCAUCCUAAGCACAAUGUAACAACCCAUAAUGGCUAAGUAGUGUCCCGGUAACAUGGAGGAAUGAAAAAGUUGUGUAAAUGGCAUCAAGAUUGUCUUAAGAUUAUCAAGCUAAUAGAAGCAAUAAACAUCACCAGUUGUUUUAGGAUUUAUUCUUCAAGGGAGGGUUUGCACUUAAAGGGACAUUAUCUCUUCCAACUAAUACCAAUGAACAAGAGUAAUGAAACAAAGAGGCAUAAUUUCUACCACCAGAAAACUCUUACAUAUGUAGUUUUUAAAAUGUACACUAUGCAGUAAAAGAUACGAAAUCCAAUAUUAGACUAGGUAUGUAAAAUCAGAAAUAUUUUUCUCCAGAGACCCAGAGAACUUGAGGUAGUCAUUGUCCUCAAAGCCCUUUGCACAUCAAGAUAUGCAAGGUCCAACUGCUUCACUUGGAAUUCAAGUCUUCCAAAAUAUAGUCCCAGCUUUAUGUGCUACUAAAGAUCUGCAUUCAACCUUUCAAGGUCCUUAACACUGAUAUGAUUAUGAUGUCUCACCUCUAUCCUCCAUAAAUAUAAAACAGGAUCACAAGCAUAGGCAACAAAAACAACACUAGACAAAUGGGACUAUGUUGAACUAAAUAGCUUCUGCACAGCAUCUACACACAAUCAACAGUGUGAAGAGACAGCCUGGUGAAUUGGAGAAAAUAUUUGCAAACUAUUAAUGUGACAAAGGACUAAUAUCCAGAAUGUACAAGGAACUCAAACAACCCAACAGUUGAAAAAAAACCCAUAUAAUCCCAUUAAAAAGUGAGCAAAGGACAUGAAUAGACAUUUCUCAAAAGAAGACAUACAAAUGGCCAACAGGUACAUGAAAAAAUGCUCAACAUCACUAAUCAUCAGGGAAAUGCAAAUCGAAAUCCACAAUGAGACAUUUUCUUACCCCUGUUAGAAUGGCUACUAUUAAAAAGACAAAAAAAAAAUAGUAACAGAUGCUGGCAAGGAUCUGUUGGUGAGAAUCUAAAUUAGUACAGCCAUUAUGGAAAACAGUACGGAGAUUUCUCAAAAAACUAAAAAUAGAACUACCAUAUGACCCAGCAAUCCCACUAUGGGGUAUUUUUCUAAAGGAAAGGAGUUCAGUACAUCACAGCAUACCUGUGCUCUCAGUUUACGACAGCACUAUUCACAAUAGCAAAGAUAGGGGAUCAACCUAAGUGUCCAUCAAUGGACAAAUGGAUUAAAAAUGUGAUAUAAAUACACAAAUAGAAUACUAUUUGGCCAUAAAAAAGGAAUAAAAUCUUGUCAUUUGUAGCAACAUGAAUGGAACUGGAGGUCAUUAUGUUAAGUGAAAUAAGGCUGUCAGAGAAAGACAAACAUUGCAAGUUCUCACUCAUAUAUGGAAGCUAAAAAAAGUUGAUCUUAUGGAGGUAGAGAGGAGAAUGAUAGAUACCAGAUGCUGCGAAGGUGUGCUGGUGGGGAAGGGGAUUAAGAGAGUGCUUAGUUGGUGGGUACAUACAGUUAGAUAGGAGGAAUAAGUUCUAAUGUUCUAUACCACAGUGGGGUGCUAUAGUCAGUAACAACGUAUUGUCUAGUUCAAAAUAGCUAGAAGAGAGAACUUGACAUGUUCCCAACAUAUAAAAAUGAUAAAUACUUGAGGUGAUGUCUACCCUAAAUACCUUGACUUGAUCAUUCCACAUUCCAUGCAUGUAACAAAAUAUCACAUGUACUCCAUAAAUAUGUACAAAUAUGUGUAUCAAUUGAAAAAAGGAAAAAAAAUAACAUAAAUGUAAGGAAGUCCAACUGUGUUCUGAUUUUGCCCAUAAUGUUUUCUUGAUACGUUUUUAAAACAUCAAAUAAUAAAUUUAUAAACAAAAUAU